UACCUGAUUUGAGGUCAAAGUCAUAAAGUGAUUGUCCAAUCUAAUGGACUGUUAUAAGCAAAGACAUUACUAGUCACCAAUACACCAAGGCGCAGAUAAUUAUCACACCAAGGCGACGGUUACAAGUCUCCACUAAUACAUUUAAGAAGAGCUGACUUCAAAAGAGAAGCCUGCAACUCCCAAAAUCCAAGCCUUGAACCAAUUUAAUAAAAAACUGAUAAGGUUGAGAAUUUAAUGACACUCAAACAGGCAUGCUCCUCGGAAUACCAAGGAGCGCAAGGUGCGUUCAAAGAUUCGAUGAUUCACUGAAUUCUGCAAUUCACAUUACUUAUCGCAUUUCGCUGCGUUCUUCAUCGAUGCGAGAGCCAAGAGAUCCGUUGCUGAAAGUUGUAUUAAGUUUAAAGGUCAAAGACCAGUAAAAUGACAUUCAUUAACAUUCAAUCAAGGGUAAAUAUAACAUAGACUAUGAACUACUAUCAAAAGGAUGCUCUGUAAGAACAAACCUCUCUUAACCACCAUUUUCAGAUGAGUUUAUUUCAUUCAUAGUCUACAAAGGUUCACAAGUGGAAAAGUAGUAAGUUACAAAAGGCGAGCACAUACUCCGAAAAGUCAGCUUCAACCUAUUGCAAGUACAUUCAAUAAUGAUCCUUCCGCAGGUUCACCUACGGAAACCUUGUUACGAUUUUUUACUUCC
rnacentral:misc_RNA from 1 species